rnacentral:tRNA from 1 species
GGGGUUGUGGCUCAGCGGUAGAGCGCUCGCUUAGCAUGCGCGAGGCCCUGGGUUCGAUCCUCAACAACACAU